rnacentral:rRNA from 1 species
GCGGUAAUUCCAGCUCUGUAAGCGUAUACCAAAGUUGUUGCAGUUAAAACGCUCGUAGUCGGAACUUGGUGGGCGAUUUGCUACAUUCGCAAGAAUGAUGGCAGAUCGGCCGCCUUUGUGGAUGGGGGCCUAGUGGUUCUUUACUGCAUCGCUGGGUCGCUGCCACCGUUUACUGUGAAAAAAUUAGAGUGUUCAAAGCAGGCGUUUGCCGUGAAUACAUUAGCAUGGAAUAAUAGAAUAGGACCUGUUUCCUAUUUUGUUGGUUUGUUAGGAUCGGGUAAUGAUUAAGAGGGAUGGUUGGGGGCAUUUGUAUUCCAGCGUCAGAGGUGAAAUUCUCGGAUU